AGAGUUUGAUCAUGGCUCAGAGCGAACGCUGGCGGCAGGCUUAACACAUGCAAGCCGAGCGGGCGUAGCAAUACGUCAGCGGCAGACGGGUGAGUAACGCGUGGGAACGUACCUUUUGGUUCGGAACAACCCAGGGAAACUUGGGCUAAUACCGGAUAAGCCCUUACGGGGAAAGAUUUAUCGCCGAAAGAUCGGCCCGCGUCUGAUUAGCUAGUUGGUGAGGUAAUGGCUCACCAAGGCGACGAUCAGUAGCUGGUCUGAGAGGAUGAUCAGCCACAUUGGGACUGAGACACGGCCCAAACUCCUACGGGAGGCAGCAGUGGGGAAUAUUGGACAAUGGGCGCAAGCCUGAUCCAGCCAUGCCGCGUGAGUGAUGAAGGCCCUAGGGUUGUAAAGCUCUUUUGUGCGGGAAGAUAAUGACGGUACCGCAAGAAUAAGCCCCGGCUAACUUCGUGCCAGCAGCCGCGGUAAUACGAAGGGGGCUAGCGUUGCUCGGAAUCACUGGGCGUAAAGGGUGCGUAGGCGGGUCUUUAAGUCAGGGGUGAAAUCCUGGAGCUCAACUCCAGAACUGCCUUUGAUACUGAAGAUCUUGAGUUCGGGAGAGGUGAGUGGAACUGCGAGUGUAGAGGUGAAAUUCGUAGAUAUUCGCAAGAACACCAGUGGCGAAGGCGGCUCACUGGCCCGAUACUGACGCUGAGGCACGAAAGCGUGGGGAGCAAACAGGAUUAGAUACCCCCGUAGUCC
rnacentral:rRNA from 1 species